rnacentral:rRNA from 1 species
GAUGAACGCUGGUGGCGUGCUUAACACAUGCAAGUCGAACGAUGAAGCCCAGCUUGCUGGGUGGAUUAGUGGCGAACGGGUGAGUAACACGUGAGUAACCUGCCCUUAACUCUGGGAUAAGCCUGGGAAACUGGGUCUAAUACCGGAUAGGAGCGUCCACCGCAUGGUGGGUGUUGGAAAGAUUUAUCGGUUUUGGAUGGACUCGCGGCCUAUCAGCUUGUUGGUGAGGUAAUGGCUCACCAAGGCGACGACGGGUAGCCGGCCUGAGAGGGUGACCGGCCACACUGGGACUGAGACACGGCCCAGACUCCUACGGGAGGCAGCAGUGGGGAAUAUUGCACAAUGGGCGAAAGCCUGAUGCAGCGACGCCGCGUGAGGGAUGACGGCCUUCGGGUUGUAAACCUCUUUCAGUAGGGAAGAAGCGAAAGUGACGGUACCUGCAGAAGAAGCACCGGCUAACUACGUG